rnacentral:rRNA from 1 species
AAAAACCUUACCUACCCUUGACAUGCCACUAACGAAGCAGAGAUGCUUAGGUGUCGAAAGAAAAGUGGACACAGGUGCUGCAUGGCUGUCGUCAGCUCGUGUCGAGAGAUGUUGCGUUAAGUCCCGCAACGAGCGCAACCCUUGUCUCUAGUUGCUACGAAGGGCACUCUAGAGAGACUGCCGGUGACAAACCGGAGGAAGGUGGGGAUGACGUCAAGUCCUCAUGGCCCUUAUGGGUAGGGCUUCACACGUCAUACAAUGGUGCAUACAGAGGGUUGCCAAGCCGCGAGGUGGAGCUAAUCCCAGAAAAUGCAUCGUAGUCCGGAUCGUAGUCUGCAACUCGACUACGUGAAGCUGGAAUCGCUAGUAAUCGCGGAUCAGAUGCCGCGGUGAAUACGUUCCCGGGUCUUGAACACACCGCCCGUC